rnacentral:rRNA from 1 species
CAGUUCGGAUUGAAGGCUGAAAUUCGCCUUCAUGAAGCCGGAAUUGCUAGUAAUGGCAGGUCAGCAUACUGCCGUGAAUACGUUCCCGGGCCUUGUACACACCGCCCGUCACACCAUGAGAGUUGGGAAUACCCGAAGCCUGUGAGCUAACGUAAGAGGCAGCAGUCGAAGGUAGAAUCAAUGAUUGGGGUGAAGUCGUAACAAGGUAUC